rnacentral:rRNA from 1 species
CAUAGGUUAAUGAGGCGAACCGGGGGAACUGAAACAUCUAAGUACCCCGAGGAAAAGAAAUCAACCGAGAUUCCCCCAGUAGCGGCGAGCGAACGGGGAGGAGCCCAGAGCCUGAAUCAGUGUGUGUGUUAGUGGAAGCGUCUGGAAAGGCGCGCGAUACAGGGUGACAGCCCCGUACACAAAAAUGCACAUAUUGUGAGCUCGAUGAGUAGGGCGGGACACGUGGUAUCCUGUCUGAAUAUGGGGGGACCAUCCUCCAAGGCUAAAUACUCCUGACUGACCGAUAGUGAACCAGUACCGUGAGGGAAAGGCGAAAAGAACCCCGGCGAGGGGAGUGAAAAAGAACCUGAAACCGUGUACGUACAAGCAGUGGGAGCCUCUUAAUGGGGUGACUGCGUACCUUUUGUAUAAUGGGUCAGCGACUUAUAUUCUGUAGCAAGGUUAACCGAAUAGGGGAGCCGAAGGGAAACCGAGUCUUAACUGGGCGUUAAGUUGCAGGGUAUAGACCCGAAACCCGGUGAUCUAGCCAUGGGCAGGUUGAAGGUUGGGUAACACUAACUGGAGGACCGAACCGACUAAUGUUGAAAAAUUAGCGGAUGACUUGUGGCUGGGGGUGAAAGGCCAAUCAAACCGGGAGAUAGCUGGUUCUCCCCGAAAGCUAUUUAGGUAGCGCCUCGUGAAUUCAUCUCCGGGGGUAGAGCACUGUUUCGGCAAGGGGGUCAUCCCGACUUACCAACCCGAUGCAAACUGCGAAUACCGGAGAAUGUUAUCACGGGAGACACACGGCGGGUGCUAACGUCCGUCGUGAAGAGGGAAACAACCCAGACCGCCAGCUAAGGUCCCAAAGUCAUGGUUAAGUGGGAAACGAUGUGGGAAGGCCCAGACAGCCAGGAUGUUGGCUUAGAAGCAGCCAUCAUUUAAAGAAAGCGUAAUAGCUCACUGGUCGAGUCGGCCUGCGCGGAAGAUGUAACGGGGCUAAACCAUGCACCGAAGCUGCGGCAGCGACACUAUGUGUUGUUGGGUAGGGGAGCGUUCUGUAAGCCUGUGAAGGUGU